UUGGUUGAAACCUUGUGUUAUGUGUUUUGGUGAGAAAAUUCAACAUUCACAAUAACUCUCUGCCAGGUGUUUAAAUAGUUACCGGUGAACUGUCAGAGAAAUCUGACAAACUACUUAAGGGUGCCCCACCAGAAGAAGAAGAAGCGAGGCUCUUAGUACAUGUGCCAUCAUACCACAGAUACCGGAACAUACGUUAAUGGCUGUGGGAGUUAUAAUUAGUUUCGUGUGCGGGGAAUAAAUAGCCUUUAUCUCAAAUUGAUUUUCACUUUCUCGAAGGAUGUUGAAUGUAAUGUUUCUUCUCUGUAUUAGAAUGUAAGCUUUUAUUAUCUCCUGAUGGAGUUCUGUCGAUAUAGAUACCGUUCUUACGCAUUAAACUGAUGUGCAUACUUAAAGAAUGAUGUGAACGUUUUAGAAAUCAAUUCAUUUAUAUCUCGAAGUUUGGUUCUCUCCUUAGGAAAACAUCAAGCAUAGAAUGUGAACUUCUCGAAAUAAGAAAUUCGAGGGAGGAAAGAGAAACCGGACAACUUUUAAUCUGGGCAGGGUCAAGAAUAGAAUGAAAGCAAAAAUUUGGAAAUCAAGAGAUACAAGGGAGGAAAAUGAAGAUGGAGGGAAGCAUCCAAUAAGAGUCGGAAGAUGAGGAUGAAAACAGGGACUCAAAGAGGAUUGGAGAAUUGGAAUGGGAAAUGCACAGAGAGAUCAAUGAUGAAGAACUCGGCAAACUGUAAGUUGUUUGACUAACUUUACAGUAC